rnacentral:rRNA from 1 species
GUGGGGAAUCUUAGACAAUGGGGGAAACCCUGAUCUAGCCAUGCCGCGUGAGCGAUGAAGGCCUUAGGGUUGUAAAGCUCUUUCAGCUGGGAAGAUAAUGACGGUACCAGCAGAAGAAGCCCCGGCUAACUCCGUGCCAGCAGCCGCGGUAAUACGGAGGGGGCUAGCGUUGUUCGGAAUUACUGGGCGUAAAGCGCGCGUAGGCGGACCAGAAAGUUGGAGGUGAAAUCCCAGGGCUCAACCUUGGAACUGCCUUCAAAACUCCUGGUCUGGAGUUCGAGAGAGGUGAGUGGAAGUCCGAGUGUAGAGGUGAAAUUCGUAGAUAUUCGGAGGAACACCAGUGGCGAAAGCGGCUCACUGGCUCGAUACUGACGCUGAGGUGCGAAAGCGUGGGGAGCAAACAGGAUUAGAUACCCCAGUAGUCC